rnacentral:rRNA from 1 species
AUGGAGCGCAUGGCGAGCUCAUAUUUUCAGGAAGUGUUCACCAAAGAUCCGACACUUACACCUAUGGGUGUACUUGACGGUAUAGCUCCUAAAGUGACACAGGGCAUGAAUGAUAUGUUGUGUGCGCCCUUUUCAGAGGAGGAAGUGUCUAAUGCCUUGUUUCAGAUCGGCCCGAUCAAAGCGCCUGGUACGGAUGGCUUGCCGGCUAGGUUCUUCCAGCGCAACUUGGCUGUUUUGAAGACGGAGAUUAUUGCUGCGGUUUUGGACUUCUUUAAGUCAGGAAAUAUGCCAGAGGGAGUGAAUGAUACGGCCAUCAUCCUUAUCCCAAAAGUUCCUCAUCCAAAGGAACUGAAGGAUUUCAGACCGAUAAGUCUAUGUAACGUGCUGUAUAAAAUCGUGUCUAAGUGCUUGGUCAAUCGUUUGCGACCGUUGUUGGGUGAGUUGAUCUCAGAAAAUCAAAGUGUAUUCAUUCCUGGGAGGCUUAUCUCGGAUAACUCUAUCAUUGCCUUUGAGUGCAUCCAUCAUAUACAAACUAUGAAAACAAACAGUCCUGCUGCUUGUGCUUACAAGCUGGAUCUCUCGAAAGCAUAUGAUCGUGUAGAUUGGGAGUUUUUGGAGCAAGCCCUAAUUAAAUGGGGGUUCUUGAUGGAGUGGAUUUCAUGGAUAAUGGCCUGUGUGAAGUCUGUCAAAUACUCUGUCAAGUUCAAUGGAAAGUUACUGGAGUCGUUUUCACCAUCUCGGGGACUAAGGCAAGGUGACCCCCUGUCUCCCUUCCUCUUCCUGUUUAUAGCUGACGCCUUGUCCUCCUUGUUAUCCAAGUCAGUGAAUGAGGGAAAAUUGAAGGGGGUUUCGAUCUUCCAUGGAGCACCAGUCAUAUCUCAUCUAUUGUUCGCAGAUGAUACUAUGUUAUUGUUUGAAGCGACGAGUCACCAAGCAACCAUUGUAAAAGGUUUGUUGAACACUUAUGCCAGAGCGACGGGUCAACUUAUCAACCCCGAAAAGUGUUCCAUCCCUUUUUUCAGACAAUUGUGCUGA